rnacentral:rRNA from 1 species
UACGUAGGUGGCGAGCGUUGUCCGGAUUUACUGGGCGUAAAGGGAGCGUAGGCGGACUUUUAAGUGAGAUGUGAAAUACUCGGGCUCAACUUGAGUGCUGCAUUUCAAACUGGAAGUCUAGAGUGCAGGAGAGGAGAAUGGAAUUCCUAGUGUAGCGGUGAAAUGCGUAGAGAUUAGGAAGAACACCAGUUGCGAAGGCGGCUCUCUGGACUGUAACUGACACUGAGGCACGAAAGCGUGGGGAGCAAACAGG